UACGCCAUUGGCGGCAGCAGUGAGGCUACCAUCAUUAGCCAGGGUAAUCGUUUUAUUGCUCAACACAAUGUUGAUAUUAAAGAGGUGACACACAGGGAAAAGGCACAAGAAUCAGAAUGGAGACACUGGACUUGGUUAUCACAAGAUGAUGAUAUGCAAAAUGGUGCUUUCUUUAGAACUUCUGGAGAUCCAAAUGCACUCAGCAAAUUUAAGAACCUUAAUUUGAUGCCAGCAGAACCAUCUUACAGAGUUGGAAUUCUUACUAAGUUUUCAGGAUCACUCGGUUGCACAGUAGGACGCCCAUGCUAGUUACACGUACAAUUCAUUUAAUUAUUUCAAAUAAAUAAACUUAAACUUCAAUAUUAACCUCUAGCCACCCCAUUCACCAAAACCGAAAGAAAGGGAGAUGUCACACUUUUAUAGCAGAUAUCAACUACUGGGAAAUGGUCAAGAGGAUUAUUUUCCGUAACUUAAUUUAACUUGUUAGGUAAGGUUGUAAUAACACUUUCUUUGUGAAAUUUAAGCUCGUUUUUGUAUCUUCUAUAUUCAAUAAUGUUAAGCCACUUAAUUGAUUACAAUUUUUUACUUCAUGGAUCAUCAAUAAAACCGCUUCUCUUCUUAUUAUUUUUUUCAA
rnacentral:lncRNA from 1 species